rnacentral:rRNA from 1 species
CCUACGGGAGACAGCAGUGGGGAAUAUUGCACAAUGGGGGGAACCCUGAUGCAGCGACGCCGCGUGGGUGAAGGAGUAUUUCGGUAUGUAAAGCCCUAUCAGCAGGGAAGAACAAUGACGGUACCUGGCUAAGAAGCACCGGCUAAAUACGUGCCAGCAGCCGCGGUAAUACGUAUGGUGCAAGCGUUAUCCGGAUUUACUGGGUGUAAGGGGAGCGCAGGCGGCGCGUUAAGCCUGGUGUGAAAGCCCGCGGCCCAACCGCGGGACUGCAUUGGGAACUGGCGCGCUGGAGUGCCGGAGGGGUAGGCGGAAUUCCUAGUGUAGCGGUGAAAUGCGUAGAUAUUAGGAGGAACACCAGUGGCGAAGGCGGCCUACUGGACGGUGACUGACGCUGAGGCUCGAAAGCGUGGGGAGCAAACAGGAUUAGAUACCCCUGUAGUC